GGGGUUGUGGCUCAGCGGUAGAGCGCUUGCCUGGUAUGCACGAGGCCCUGGGUUAAAUUCUCAACACCA
rnacentral:tRNA from 1 species